rnacentral:lncRNA from 1 species
UGAGUGUAGAAGACCUUCUACCAACCUCUAACCCCUUCUGCGUGGCUAACGGCCACCAGUCCUUCAGGUCUCAACCCAAACAUCACUUCUUCAGACCAGCCCUCCAAGUAAUCCAGCCGAGCCUCUGGGGUUUGCUGGCGAUCCUCGGUGUCGCUUGGCUUGCAGAUACAUCACUCCAGUCUCUGCCUCUGUCAUCACAAGACGUCCUCGCCUGAAUACGAGUUCCAUGAAGACAGGGGCUCCUCUCCUGUUCACCACUGUCCGGCAACAACUGUGAGGUUUCAGACUCUAGGACACCACUAAGGUUCUAGGAUUCUAGGUUCACCACGGCCACUGCCACCAGCCACUCCACAUACUACCCUUGCAAUGGAUUCUACCGUGAGGCUUAGGCAAGCUCACCAACUGUUGGAGCUUCAGGGAAGGGGGAGAAGUAACUGAAAAGUGAGAGCCACACAGUGCCUUCUGUCCAGAUCAGUCAUUGGAUGAGGCCCGCCUCCAGAAGGGCAUGACACCAGUUAAGCUAGCUCACUGCAUCAGAGGCUGACCCUGAAGGGUCUCACAGAUGAAGGCAGCCUGCCUGCAGCUCCACACCUGCAACAACAGGCGGCGCAUCUCCAUGUCUAC